rnacentral:rRNA from 1 species
GAGUUUGAUCCUGGCUCAGAUUGAACGCUGGCGGCAUGCCUUACACAUGCAAGUCGAACGGCAGCACGGGCUUCGGCCUGGUGGCGAGUGGCGAACGGGUGAGUAAUACAUCGGAACGUGCCCUGUUGUGGGGGAUAACCAGUCGAAAGAUUGGCUAAUACCGCAUACGACCUGAGGGUGAAAGCGGGGGACCGCAAGGCCUCGCGCAGCAGGAGCGGCCGAUGUCUGAUUAGCUAGUUGGUGGGGUAAAGGCCCACCAAGGCGACGAUCAGUAGCUGGUCUGAGAGGACGAUCAGCCACACUGGGACUGAGACACGGCCCAGACUCCUACGGGAGGCAGCAGUGGGGAAUUUUGGACAAUGGGGGCAACCCUGAUCCAGCAAUGCCGCGUGUGUGAAGAAGGCCUUCGGUU